AGUCAACAUGCCCAGGGGACGUGGAUAACCUCGGGAAACUGAGGAUAAACCGCGAUAAGUCACUACUUCUGGAAUGGGUAAUGACUUAAAUCUAUAUGGCCCCUGGAUUGGACUGCGGCCGAUCAGGCUGUUGGUGAGGUAAUGGCCCACCAAACCUGUAACCGGUACGGGCUCUGAGAGGAGGAGCCCGGAGAUGGGCACUGAGACAAGGGCCCAGGCCCUAUGGGGCGCAGCAGGCGCGAAACCUCUGCAAUAGGCGAAAGCCUGACAGGGUUACUCUGAGUGAUUUCCGUUAAGGAGAUCUUUUGGCACCUCUAAAAAUGGUGCAGAAUAAGGGGUGGGCAAGUCUGGUGUCAGCCGCCGCGGUAAUACCAGCACCCCGAGUGGUCGGGACGUUUAUUGGGCCUAAAGCAUCCAUAGCCGGUUCUGCAAGUCUUCCGUUAAAUCCACCUGCUUAACAGAUGGGCCGCGGAAGAUACUAUAGAGCUAGGAGGCGGGAGAGGCAAGCGGUACUCGAUGGGUAGGGGUAAAAUCCGUUGAUCCAUUGAAGACCACCAGUGGCGAAGGCGGCUUGCCAGAACGCGCUCGACGGUGAGGGAUGAAAGCUGGGGGAGCAAACCGGAUUAGAUACCCGGGUAGUCCCAGCUGUAAACGAUGCAGACUCGGUGAUGAAUUGGCUUUAUGCCUAUUCAGUGCCGCAGGGAAGCCGUUAAGUUUGCCGCCUGGGGAGUACGGUCGCAAGACUGAAACUUAA
rnacentral:rRNA from 1 species